UUUACCAUCAUCUUCUUGUUAUUGUGAUGGGAUGAUCAGACAUGUCUGCAGUGGAGAAGUUUGAAAAGGAGAACAAAGAAAACCAUGAAUGGAGUUCAAAUUCAACUUCCCUGUGGUUCUAGUUUCAGAAAACUAGUAACUGUAAAUUCAUUCAGCCGCAGCCAAUGAAGCCUACUGAGACACCAUUCACGCAUCUAAGGUAUCCACACCCUAUAUGUAAACUAUGAACAAUAUUGUAUACCAUCUGAGAAAUGUAUAUUUACUAUAUUUCAGAAACAUUCAGCAAUCCAAGAUGUUAUGGUCUAAUCUGAGGCUGAAGAGAACAGAUUUUCAAAGGUUACAUGGGAGGAGAGCUCAACAAUUUUAGGGUAGCAGAAGGUACUGAGGUGCUGACUAGCACUAAGCAAUUGAUCAUCAACAUGGUGAAAUGCGGACAAACAGCACUUUUGCCCAUCCUUGCUCCAACAAUGUCAUGAAUAGGUCCAAGGAGUUCCCAUUAGCAACGAGCACCCAUAGAUGAAAGCUCCAAACUCCUGAGUGUAAUAUAUAUAUCCCUUCCAAAUUGUACCUCUCUGGAAUUGAACUUGGCAGAACAUAAGACACAACCAUUACUAGAAAUCUCUACACAGAUUUUAUCCACUACAUACAUGUGUAUAAUUGUAUGUCUGUCAAUGACUGAAACAUAAUUUAAAAACAUUUUGUAGUUGUUACUUUUAAAACAGGCUCUAGAUCCAGGAAAAAGAUAUCCUAUUUAGAUAGAAACAUGAAAACCUGUCUUGGUAUUAUCCCACUUAUAUUCAUGUUAAUGUUAGACGGUAACUAGAGGUUGUUUAACUUGCUGAAGCAGGAAGACUGCUCAAGUUUCAACUCACCAUUCGAGCAGAAGGACAACCAAUUUGGUUUAAUUAAGGGCAGAAUUUGGGACAGAAAGAAAGUUCCAUGUAUAAAUUGCACUAAAAUUAUAAGGCUAAUAAUUCCUUCUGGCAAGGUUUCAACUUUCAGAAUUGGCAGCUUUAUUGAACUACCAAUUUAUCCAAUGACAAGUCAAAAGUUGCCACUUCACACCUUCUGCACUGUGACAAGAACUCAGAAUUCAUAUAAUCUAAUCAAAUCUAUAACAAAUUUCAUAGUUGGAAUUACCACAGUUCUAUUGUUAAAUACAAGAACCAAAUAGAAGAAGAAAAAGAAAUCUUCCUUGACAAUCAAUAGGAUAGAUUGCUAACAAAACACCAUCAAUGGCUUUCAAACAAGUAAAAAAUGUAUGAGAAACAAAUUCCCCAAUCCUUCCAGAAGCACCAUAUUUAGCACCUAAAGUUCAUAAUAUUGCUACAAAUGCCUCCACUUUUUUUUUUUUUUUGGAAAAAUAGAAGGAUUUCAUUAAUCAACAAGGAACAAAAAAUUCCUUGAAAGAAAACAGGAACCAAUGUACAGGAGGAUAUAAAAGAUGAAAAAGUGUCCACAAACAGAACACCAGGAACAAAACCAAAAACCCAAGAGCAGCAAAACAAGCGAAAACCAUUGGGGCCAAAAGCAGCAAGAAGAACAGAAGCAUCAACAGAUGCAAGAGACAAACAGCAGCAAGAAGGCCAAACAAACAGAAACAGCAACAAGAGAGAAGCCAGACAGUGAACAUCAACAGAAACAGCAGGAAAAGAUUCGAGCGAAGAAGAGGAAUCUCGAACAUCCAUCCACACAAAGACAGCAGCAACACAACAGAAAACAAAGCAACCAAGGAACAACACAGCAAGAAGAGAGCAAACAGAAUCAGAGGCAGCAGGCAGCAGUCAUUGGAAUAGUUUUUACUUUUCACACAUACUAGAUAAAGUUCAUCAUUCCUACACCAUCAAUCAGACAUUGAGCCUGCUGCUGCUCAAAAGCACAACCAUACAUAAUAUCGUUGUUUUAUGGAUGUCUUACAGAUAUGCAACACAAUGUAUUGACUAUUGAACAAAGUUUUUUUUUUAAUAAUUAAAAGAGGAUGAAGAAAAAGAAGCUUUCUUUAAGAACCGUCAAAAGGGCCAAAGUUUGCAUUAUUAGUCUUCCACGAAGAAAGUAGCUUUUCCAAACACAAAAUACAGAUAUGAAAAAAGAACAAAGUAAUCUGUUUAGAUGCAUUGGUCACAACCAACACAAAAACUUAACUGAAAAAUGAAAAUCAAUUGACUAUAUUCCAGCUAUAUACAAAUUUACUUUGAUAGAUUGAACUCCAACAAUGACAUAAUUUCAUCCAGAAUUCAUGAAUUCUAACUUCAAAAUUGGAUUUUUUGAACAUAAAAAUCCCUGUUUUAAAAAUUUUUCUACUAAAAGUAUUGACAUUUCAUUCUACAAAACACAAAAUCAGGCAACUAAAACGACAAUCUAACACAUUUGCCUAUUAAAAAACAUUAGAAACUCUCACCAAAAAUGAAUGAACCUAAAUCUUUCUCCUAAGACGUUUCCUCAGCUUCUUGUAUUUGUGCUUCUUCAUCUUCCUCUUCCUCUUUUUCUUCACACUAUCAACCAAACGAAAGUUCAUCUUCUGACUCAUAUGAGAUAGACCCAGAUGAUGAAAUGGGGUUUAAAGACAACCCAAAUGAAAAAACCUGGAUAAAAAAUGGAAGCUUUACAAUUGGUCAAGUUCUCUGCUUUGAGUGAACCCUAAAAGUUUUGAGAAAGCUGG